AGCCCUUAGGCCAUCCACUAUGGGCGGGUAGUAUCCCACGUGGAAGAGGUAGCACCACAGUGGAGAUAAAAUAUUUGGGGUAGCAAAAUGGAUUGGGUAGCAAGUUUGCUACCAGGUAGCAAACUAACAUGUGGGACCCGUCUGUUUCCUUUUCUUUCAUUUUUUUGGUUUUUAUUUUUUCUUUCCACCUUUUUUAAUGUUUGUUUCCUUUUUCUAUUUCGUCCGUUUCUUCUUCUUUUUUUUUCAUUUUUUUUUCUUUAUUUUCUUUUUUCUUCUUUACACUUUUCUUCAUACUAUAUAGACAAUCAAACAAAUAAAUUUGUCAGAUAUCUACAUAUCAAUCCAUCUAUCCCCUAUAUUUGAUGUGAUGGUACGAAGCCACUACUAUAUUUGAUGUGAUGGUACGAAGUAACGAAGCCACUACAAUUGUAACGUUUCAAUUCUCAAACGGCC
rnacentral:lncRNA from 1 species